rnacentral:tRNA from 1 species
GUCCAGGGGCGGGAAUCGAACCCACAACGUUCCGCUUACCGAGCAGAUGCCAUGUCCACUAGGCUACCCUGGA